AAAAACAAAUUAUUAUAAAAUAACCAGAUUGUACAACUGGAUCCUGAAGGCCACUGCUCUGGUAUCACCCCUGUGAAAGCAGCAUCAUCAGCAGUAUGAUAAGAUGAAUUAAUCAGCACAUGCGCAUGUAUCCAUG